UUGACCUCAAAUCGGGUGAGACUACCCGCUGAACUUAAGCAUAUCAAUAAGCGGAGGAAAAGAAACUAACAAGGAUU
rnacentral:rRNA from 1 species